rnacentral:rRNA from 1 species
AGAGUUUGAUCCUGGCUCAGGAUAAACGCUGGCGGCGUGCCUAACACAUGCAAGUCGAACGCUCUUGGGUAACCGAGAGAGUGGCGGACGGGUGAGGAACACGUGGGUAUCUGCCUUCUGGUGAGGAAUACCAGCGAGAAAUCGCUGACAAUACCGCAUAGCUUUGGAAACAAAGAAAGUCGCAAGACGCCUGAAGAUGA